rnacentral:rRNA from 1 species
GACGAACGCUGGCGGCGUGCCUAAUACAUGCAAGUUGAGCGAUGAAGCUUGGUGCUUGCACCAAUUUGAAGAGCAGCGAACGGGUGAGUAACGCGUGGGGAAUCUGCCUUUGAGCGGGGGACAACAUUUGGAAACGAAUGCUAAUACCGCAUAACAACUUUAAACAUAAGUUUUAAGUUUGAAAGAUGCAAUUGCAUCACUCAAAGAUGAUCCCGCGUUGUAUUAGCUAGUUGGUGAGGUAAAGGCUCACCAAGGCGAUGAUACAUAGCCGACCUGAGAGGGUGAUCGGCCACAUUGGGACUGAGACACGGCCCAAACUCCUACGGGAGGCAGCAGUAGGGAAUCUUCGGCAAUGGACGAAAGUCUGACCGAGCAACGCCGCGUGAGGGAAGAAGGGUUUCGGAUCGUAAAACUCUGUUGGUAGAGAAGAACGUUGGUGAGAGUGGAAAGCUCAUCAAGUGACGGUAACUACCCAGAAAGGGACGGCUAACUACGUG